UUACGGACAUAGCACGUUGAAACACAGGUCUCGGUACGAUCAUCGAAUUGAAGCAAUGUAGAUCCUAGUCAGUAUCUAGAUGGGUGACCGCUUGGGAAUACCAGGUGCUGUAAG